AAUCAACGCUGGCGGCGUGCCUCAGACAUGCAAGUCGAACGCGAAAGCCCCCUUCGGGGGGCAAGUAGAGUGGCGCACGGGUGAGUAACACGUAGGUAAUCUACCUUUGGAUGGGGAAUAACAACCGGAAACGGUUGCUAAUACCGCAUAAUGCAGCGGCACCUAAUGGUGACAGUUGUUAAAGCGGGGGAUCGCAAGACCUCGCGUCUGAAGAGGAGCCUGCGGCAGAUUAGCUAGUUGGUAAGGUAACGGCUUACCAAGGCGGUGAUCUGUAGCCGGCCUGAGAGGGCGGUCGGCCACACUGACACUGACAUACGGGUCAGACUCCUACGGGAGGCAGCAGUCGGGAAUUUUGGGCAAUGGGCGAAAGCCUGACCCAGCAACGCCGCGUGAAGGAUGAAAUCCCUCGGGAUGUAAACUUCGCAAGAACGGGAAGAAUAAGUAAGAGCUAAUAACUUUUACGAUGACGGUACUGUUUGUAAGCUCCGGCUAACUCCGUGCCAGCAGCCGCGGU
rnacentral:rRNA from 1 species